rnacentral:rRNA from 1 species
AUGCCUAGGAAAUUGCCCUGAUGUGGGGGAUAACCAUUGGAAACGAUGGCUAAUACCGCAUGAUGCCUACGGGCCAAAGAGGGGGACCUUCGGGCCUCUCGCGUCAGGAUAUGCCUAGGUGGGAUUAGCUAGUUGGUGAGGUAAGGGCUCACCAAGGCGACGAUCCCUAGCUGGUCUGAGAGGAUGAUCAGCCACACUGGAACUGAGACACGGUCCAGACUCCUACGGGAGGCAGCAGUGGGGAAUAUUGCACAAUGGGCGCAAGCCUGAUGCAGCCAUGCCGCGUGUGUGAAGAAGGCCUUCGGGUUGUAAAGCACUUUCAGUCGUGAGGAAGGUGGUGUAGUUAAUAGCUGCAUUAUUUGACGUUAGCGACAGAAGAAGCACCGGCUAACUCCGUGCCAGCAGCCGCGGUAAUACGGAGGGUGCGAGCGUUAAUCGGAAUUACUGGGCGUAAAGCGCAUGCAGGUGGUUUGUUAAGUCAGAUGUGAAAGCCCGGGGCUCAACCUCGGAAUAGCAUUUGAAACUGGCAGACUAGAGUACUGUAGAGGGGGGGUAGAAAUUUCAGGUGUAGCGGUGAAAUGCGUAGAGAUCUGAAGGAAUACCGGUGGCGAAGGCGGCCCCCUGGACAGAUACUGACACUCAGAUGCGAAAGCGUGGGGAGCAAACAGGAUUAGAUACCCUGGUAGUCCACGCCGUAAACGAUGUCUACUUGGGAGGUUGUGGCCUUGAGCCGUGGCUUUCGGAGCUAACGCGUUAAGUAGACCGCCUGGGGGAGUACGGUCGCAAGAUUAAAACUCAAAUGAAUUGACGGGGGCCCGCACAAGCGGUGGAGCAUGUGGUUUAAUUCGAUGCAACGCGAAGAACCUUACCUACUCUUGACAUCCAGAGAACUUUCCAGAGAUGGAUUGGUGCCUUCGGGAACUCUGAGACAGGUGCUGCAUGGCUGUCGUCAGCUCGUGUUGUGAAAUGUUGGGUUAAGUCCCGCAACGAGCGCAACCCUUAUCCUUGUUUGCCAGCGAGUA